rnacentral:rRNA from 1 species
UACGGGGGGUGCGAGCGUUGUUCGGAAUCACUGGGCUUAAAGGGCGCGUAGGCGGGCUGCCAAGUCAGGGGUGAAAUCCUGCGGCUCAACCGUAGAAGUGCCUUUGAUACUGGCGGCCUUGAGGGAGGUAGGGGCGUGCGGAACUUCCGGUGGAGCGGUGAAAUGCGUAGAUAUCGGAAAGAACACCGGUGGCGAAAGCGGCGCGCUGGACCUCUUCUGACGCUGAGGCGCGAAAGCCAGGGGAGCGGAACGGG